rfam:Nelumbo nucifera unplaced genomic scaffold scaffold00116, whole genome shotgun sequence
AUACUUACCUGGACGGGGUCUAUGGGUGACCAAGAAGGCUCAUGGCCUAGGUUGGCGACCUCCAUUGCACAAAGGAGGGGUGCUCGCCUAACAUCUCCCCAAGUGGGAGAGUGUACGUCAUAAUUUGUGGUAGUGGGGGUACGCGUUCGCGCGGCCCCUAC